UUUGUGUUAAAAAUCUAUCUGAUUAGUAUAAAUUAAGGAGAUUAAUAUCUUCAUCUUGUUCAAUUAAUUGUAGCUAUGGAUUGUAUUUACAAAGAUCCAAAUGCUGCAAUUGAAGAAAGAGUAAAAGAUCUUCUUUCUAAAAUGACAGUUGAAGAAAAAAUUGGUCAAAUGACUCAGAUCGAAAGAGCUGUUGCUAAUCCUUCUGCUAUUAGAGAUCGUUGCAUUGGGAGUGUUUUGAGUGGAGGUGGAAGUAGACCAUUUGAGAAUGCAGAAUCAGGUGAUUGGGCUAAUAUGAUUGAUGGGUUUCAAAAGGGUGCAGUUGAGUCCAGACUUGGCAUUCCUAUUUUCUAUGGGACUGAUGCUAUUCAUGGCAAUAACAAUGUUUGGGGUGCCACUAUUUUUCCUCACAACAUUGGGCUUGGUGCCACCAGAGAUGCUGAUUUAGUAAGACGGAUAGGAGAGGUGACAGCUCUUGAAACCAGGGCAUGUGGAUCUCAGUAUGCUUUUGCGCCUUGUAUUGCUGUUGCAAAAGAUCCUAGAUGGGGAAGAUUUUACGAGAGUUACAGUGAAGAUACUGAAGUUGUAAGAAAGAUGACGUCCCUUGUCUCGGGCUUGCAAGGUCAGCCACCAGAAGGACAUCCAUAUGGCUACCCUUAUGUUUCUGGAAGAAAUUCUGUCAUGGCAAGUGCAAAGCAUUUUGUUGGUGAUGGGGCAACUGAGAAUGGUACAAAUGAAGGAAAUACAAUAGCAUCGCAUGAUGAUAUGUUUAAUAUUCACCUAGCACCGUAUAUAGACUGUAUUGCCCAAGGAGUUUGCACUGUUAUGGCCUCCUACUCCAGCUGGAAUGGAGACAAAAUGCACUCUCAUCGAUAUCUUUUAACUGAGGUCUUGAAAGAAAAGCUUGGAUUCAAGGGUCUCCUGAUUACAGACUGGGAAGCACUUGAACGGCUUACUGAUCCUCAUGAUGCUGAUUAUCGUCAAUCCGUCAAGUUAACCAUUAAUGCUGGAAUUGAUAUGGUAAUGGUGCCAUUUAGAUAUGAAUUAUUUUUGGAGCAGCUGCUUUCACUGGUAGAAUCAGGGGAGAUACCGAUGACCAGGAUAGAUGACGCUGUUGAAAGAAUCUUGAGAGUCAAAUUUGUUGCUGGAUUAUUUGAACAUCCGUUUACAGAUAGAUCAUUGAUAGAUUUGGUUGGUUGCAAGGCACAUAGAGAGCUAGCACGUGAAGCUGUUCGCAAAUCCUUAGUUUUGUUGAAAAAUGGGAAAGAUCCAAAGAAACCAUUUCUGCCUCUAGAUAAGACCGCCAAAAAGAUCCUCGUUGCUGGAACUCAUGCUGAUGAUCUUGGGUAUCAAUGUGGAGGAUGGACAGCUACUUGGACAGGACUCAGUGGCAGAAUCACAGUUGGCACAACCAUAAUGGAUGCAAUAAGGGAGAUGUUGGGUGACAAAACAGAGAUAGUCUUUGAACCAAAUCCUACUGCAGAAACUUUUGCUGGUGAAGACUUCUCUUUUGCUAUCGUGGCGAUUGGUGAAGGUCCAUAUUGUGAAACUGGUGGUGAUGAUCCAGAGCUAAAAAUCCCAUUUAACGGAACAGAAAUUGCAACUUUUGUCGCUGACAGAGUUCCCACGGUGACAAUUCUCAUUUCUGGAAGACCUAUGGUUAUCGAACCACCACUCUUGGAAAAAGUCGAUGCAUUUGUUGCAGCUUGGUUGCCUGGAACUGAAGGA
rnacentral:misc_RNA from 1 species